GGUUUCUCCAUGUUGGCCAAGCUGGUCUCAAACUCCUGACCUCAGGUGACCCACCUGCCUCAGCCUCCCAAAGUGCUGGAAUUAAGAGGUGUGAGCCACCACACCUGGCCUACAGCAGAUUUAUUUCAGUAGCUGAAAUAGUUAAAACAUAAUGAUUCCAAAGGCUGAGAAGCAUGCAGAAAAAAUUGAAUCUUUAUUGCUGAUGGGAAUAUAAAACUGUAUACCACAUUGGAAAAUAAUUUGGCAAUUUCUUUUAAAGCUAAACACACACAUACAGUUAGUUAGGCUUAGCAAUUGCUGUCAUGGCCUAUUUCAUAGAAAUGAAAAUUUAUGUGUAGACCAAACCUGCACUUGACUGUUCACAGAAAUUUUAUUUGUAAUAGUCAGAACCUGGAAACAACUCACAUGUUAUUCACCAGGUAAACAGUUAAAUAAGUCUGUUAUUUCCGUAUUGUGUAAUACAACUCAAAAAUUAAAAGGAAUAAACUACUACUAUACAAAUAAGCCUUAGAUGAUUCUCAAUUCUGAAGGAAAAACCCAUUUCAAGUUGUAACAUAAUGCUUAUUUUUAUGUAUCUUAAUGUGAUGAAGUUAAAUAGUUUAGAGAACAUUGUUCGUAUUCAUCUGUUAGGGAUGGUAGAAGUUAGGGUUGUAUGUGAUUAUAAGACUAGUGGAAGGGAUACGUUUUUAAUGAUGGAUGAGUUCUGCAUUCUGAUUCAUGCAGUGGUUACAAAAAUGUAUACAUGUGAUAAAAUGUCAUGUAAAUGUGCACAUUUCACCAAUGACAAUGUGCUGGUUGUGAUAUUGUACAAUGUUAAUGGAAAAUAUCACCACUGGGGAAAAUUGAGUGGUAUGUGUAAACGGUACUAUAUUUGCAGCAUUUUGUGAGUCUUUAUUUUAACAUAAUAUGUAAAUAUGUAAAGCAACUAGAAGAAUGGUUUUAAUACAGGAGAGUAACAGCUUAUAAGCAAGAGAAAGAAAAAUGAUAAAUAAUGUGAACACUUACCAAAGGAAGGGUGGAACAGAGAAAUAAAGGACAGGGAAAAUUAUCUGGGAUGAUUC
rnacentral:lncRNA from 10 species